ACGUCGUCGUAUGGCCGCGUGUAUAUGUGUGGAAUCAACACGAUCUUGUCUGGGAGAUUGCUGGUGUUCUUCAAUCGCGGUGUUAUGUAUCACUGCUGCUCCUCCGCACACGCGAUGGCAUCUGCUGAGUGGAAGAUGGCCGCCAGUGGUUUUAGGUCGAGUUGUGGUCGUGUGAUACGAUCGUGUCUGGGAGGUUACUUAUACAACUUCGCGGUGUUAUGUGUCGCUGCUGCUCCUCCGCAUACGCGAUAACAUCUGCUGACCAUCAGUUGCUAACGUCGAUGUGUGGUUGGGUGGGGCUAACGCGCUUGUCAUUGGCAGGUUGGAAUUUCGCAGAGUGCGCUAGUCUAGUGAGGAGAACUAAACUGACCCAGUUGUAAAAGCAGAUUUCACGUGGCUGGCCGAGUCCCCUUUACGGAGCUAUAUAAAUAGUUACUGCGUGAUGUAUCCCAUAAUAGGCCUCUAGCUACCACUCUGUUCAGGGUCGUAGCCUGAGGGUGGGCGGGGUGAGCGACAGUUACGCCCACAUAGAUUUUGGAGAAAUGUAAAAAAUGUGCUAAAUAAAUCUAAAUAUAGUAGUUCAACGAA